rnacentral:rRNA from 1 species
UACGGGGGGGGCAAGCGUUGUUCGGAAUUACUGGGCGUAAAGGGCGCGUAGGCGGUUUGUUAAGUUGGAUGUGAAAACUCUGGGCUUAACCCAGAGCCUGCAUCCAAAACUAGCAAGCUAGAGUUCUGGAGGGGAUAAUGGAAUUCCUGGUGUAGCGGUGAAAUGCGUAGAUAAUCAGGAGGAACACCGGUGGCGAAGGCGGUUAUCUGGACAGAAACUGACGCUGAGGCGCGAAAGCUAGGGGAGCAAACAGG